UACAGAGGUCUCAAGCGUUGUUCGGAUUCAUUGGGCGUAAAGGGUGCGUAGGUGGCGCUGUAAGUCGGGUGUGAAAUUUCGGAGCUUAACUCCGAAACUGCAUUCGAUACUGCGGUGCUUGAGGACUGGAGAGGAGACUGGAAUUCGAUGGUGUAGCAGUGAAAUGCGUAGAGAUCAUGAGGAAGACCAGUGGCGAAGGCGGGUCGUCUGGACAGUUCCUGACACUGAGGCACGAAGGCCAGGGGAGCAAACGGGAUUAGAGUACCC
rnacentral:rRNA from 1 species